GUGGCGAAAGGGUGAGGAAUAGAUAGGAACGUACCCUGUGCUCUGGGAUAGCGUCUGAAGCUUCGGCUUCUUCCGAAAGGGGCGGUAAUACCAGAUAAUGUCCUUCGGGACCAAAGAUUUAUCGGCAUUGGAGCGGCCUAUCUCCUAUCAGCUUGUUGGUGAGGUAACGGCUCACCAAGGCAACGACGGGUAGCGGGACUGAGAGGUUGGCCCGCCACAUCGGGACUGAGACACUGCCCGGACCUCCACGGAGGGCUGCAGUAACGGAUAUUGGGCAAUGGGCGAAAGCCUGACCCAGCAAUGCCGCGUGCAGGAUGAAGCCCCUAGGGGUGUAAACUGCUGUCAGGGGUCAGAAAGCUGGUUUCGGCCAGUUGAUCAACCCCAGAGGAAGUCACGGCUAACUUCGUGCCAGCAGCCGCGGUAAUACGAAGGUGGCAAGCGUUAUUCGGAAUCAUUGGGCUUAAAGGGCACGCAGGCGGAACAGUGUGUGUUGUGUGAAAUCCCCCGGCUUAACCGGGGAAUUGCACAGCAAACUGCUGUUCUUGAGGCAGGUAGGGGUGCAUGGAACUCUUGGUGGAGCGGUGGAAUGCGUAGAUAUCAAGAGGAACGCCAGAGGUGAAGACGGUGCACUGGGCCUGUCCUGACGCUGAGGUGCGAAAGCGUGGGGAGCGAACGGGAUUAGAUACCCCGGUAGUCCACGCCGUAAACGAUGUCUACUAGGUCGUGGGUGUUCUGACACAUUCACGGCCGGAGCAAAAGUGUCUAGUAGACCGCCUGGGGAGUACGGCCGCAAGGUUAAAACUCAAAUGAUUUGACCGGUGGGCUCACACAAGCGGUGGAGCAUGUGGAUUAGUUCGAAGCAACGCGCAGAACCUUACCCUGGGGUUUGCAUGCUUGUAUGCCUUCUCUGAAAGGAGUUAGCUGCCUUCGGGUGAACUUGCACAGGUGCUGCAUGGCUGUCGUCAGCUCGUGUCGUGAGAUGUCGGGUUAAGUCCUUUAACGAGCGAAACCCUUGCCGUUAGUUGCCAGCGAGUAAUGUCGGGGACUCUAACGGGACUGCCGGUGUUAAACCNGGAGGAAGGUGGGGAUGACGUCAAGUCCUCAUGGCCUUUAUGCCCAGGGCUUCACACGUGCUACAAUGGCAAUUACAGAGCGACGCGAUACCGCGAGGUGGAGCAAAUCGCAAAAAAAUUGCCUCAGUUCGGAUUGCAGGCUGGCAAUUCGCCUGCAUGAAGUCGGAAUCGCUGGUAAUCGCGUAUCAGCAAUGACGCGGUGAAUGUGUUCCUGAGCCUUGUACACACCGCCCGUCAAGUGAUGAAGCCGGGAGUACCCGAAGUCGGU
rnacentral:rRNA from 1 species